rnacentral:sRNA from 1 species
UGCGGAGGAUCAUUACCGAAUUGUCGACAUGAAGUUGUUGCUGGCCCUCAGAAGGGGGCAUGUGCACGCUCUGUUUACACAUCCACUCACACCUGUGCACUCUCUGUAGUUCUAUGGUCUGGGGGCACUCAGCCCUCCUACUGUGGUUCUGCGUAUUUACACACACACGCUGUAAUAAAGUCUUAUGGGAUGUAUUUCGCGUUUAACGCAAUGCAAUACAACUUUCAGCAACGGAUCUCUUGGCUCUCGCAUCGAUGAAGAACGCAGCGAAAUGCGAUAAGUAAUGUGAAUUGCAGAAUUCAGUGAAUCAUCGAAUCUUUGAACGCACCUUGCGCCCUUUGGCCAUUCCGAAGGGCAUGCCUGUUUGAGUAUCAUGAACACCUCAACUCCUCAUGGCUUGCCAUGACGAGCUUGGACUUUGGGGGACUUGCUGGCCUGCGAUCAGCUCCUCUCAAAUGAAUCAGCUUGCCAGUGUUUGGUGGCACCACAGGUGUGAUAAACAUCUACUCUUGUGGUCACUCCACCAUGUAACCUUCAGUGAUGGAGGUUCACUGGAGCUCACAAAUGUCUUUCCUCAGUGAAGACAGCUCUCGAUUGUUUGAUCUCAAAUCAGGUAGGACUACCCGCUGAACUUAAGCAUAUCAAUAAGCGGA